UCCAACUUAUCGCUGGCGGUCUCCUGCGAGUGCUCCCUUGCGGGGUGGCAACACAGGACGAGGGUUGCGCUCGUUGCGGGACUUAACCCAACAUCUCACGACACGAGCUGACGACAGCCAUGCAGCACCUCGACCGGACCUCCUUGCGGAGUAGCGAUGUUUCCACCGCCGUUAACCGGCCGUUCGAGCCCAGGUAAGGUUCUUCGCGUUGCGUCGAAUUGAACCACAUGCUCCACCGCUUGUGCGGGCCCCCGUCAAUUCCUUUGAGUUUCAGCCUUGCGACUGUACUCCCCAGGCGGCAUGUUUAACGCGUUAGCUCCGGCACGGAUGAACUGAAUCACCCACACCAAACAUGCAUCGUUUAGGGCGUGGACUAC
rnacentral:misc_RNA from 1 species